rnacentral:rRNA from 1 species
GUCCACGGCCACGCCCCCCUGAACGUGCCCUGAUCCCGUCUGAUCUCAGAAGCUGAGCAGGGUCGGGCCUGGUGAGUACUUGGAUGGGAGACCACCCAGGAAGACCGGGUGCUGUAGGUG